AAUAAACGCAUCUAUGUAUUUUUAAGAUAGAAUUUUUGACUCCUCGUCUUAUUUAAAUUCUUUUAUGAUUAAUAUUUUUAUUGUUACUGCAUGAUAAAACAUGAAUAGUAUUUUACGUGCGACUAAUUUUUUUUAUUUUUAAUAAAUUUUUUAAAUAAGACGGAUAGUCAAAUGCUCGACCUAGAAAACUCAGA
rnacentral:pre_miRNA from 1 species